GGUUAGGGUUGGUCAAAAAUGGCGGCAAGAAGCAAUAGCAGUCCAACAAUGUCAUCAGACAGAACUUCGGCUUCUCCGGAACAAAAAUCAUUCCAAGGCCGCGAGAAGAUCGUCACAGAUUCCAUUCAUCAACGAAUGAAGCCACCGCAGGUGUUCUGCGAAAUCUGCAAGUGCCAUAUUGCCGGGACUUUUCUUGAAAUUAAAAAGCACUUCAAACCCACUCACAAAUCAAUCGUUACCUGUCACUCCUGCAACGGAAAGGUCUUCAGUUACGUCGAAACCAAGUACGACGUCGAUGGGUGUCCUACGAUGGAGGAGCACAACUUCCACGACUGCCCGAAUAAGGCCAAGCCCCGAGACGAGAAUUCCAAUAGUUAAGAAAUUUAUGAUCGUUGAACGAGGAAAGAUUAUAAAACUAUUUUAUUAGAUUUUUUAAGAGAAAACGGUUUUUUGACAUCGUGUCAAGAACCUGGAGAGAUUGACAAAAUCUAUAUUGCCUUACUUUUAAGGUAUUUGCCAAGAGAAAGCUACCAAAAAAUUAUUCCCUGUGAAGUUGUGGAAAACAAUUGUACAUGACUUAAUUUAUUGUAUUCUCGGAAAUUAUUGGAUUUUUUAUUCUCAUAAUAAUAAUAUAUUGUUAGUCAAUUUUUGAUAGAUAAUUUAUGAGCAGUCAAUGGUCCACCGUAAAAAUGAUUUUUAUAGAAUUAUGAACAAAUUUAUCCACACGAUUUACUAGAAAUUGAUUUCAUGCCCAAAAACUGAGAUUUCAAAAUUUCUUAAAGGGUAAACAAUUUCAGUUAUUUAUCAGCGAAUUUAAGAAAAAUCAUGAUUAUGCGCAAAAUUUGAAUGACCCUAAAUAUUCUUUGUUGGUUUUUUUCAAAUUUCGGUCUCGCAAGUUUAUGAACAAGUUUGACGAUUUUUUAGUUAAUCAAAAAAAUAUAUAAUUUUUGAUAAUUAGGCACGAAUAUUUUAUGAAUAACUAAUAAGUUGUAAUGCAUUAGGACCAAUACAUAAAUUAAUUAAAUCGAUUAAUUGAUUUAAUUUGGUCAAUGUCUGGAUAUUGAUGGGAAUGACAGUGGAUGAUGGGAAUGAGAAACUUUAUUUUUCUUUUCUGUCAUCCCGGUUUUAAAACUGCUCAAGUGGUUUCUUCAAUCGUUCAAACUGUCUUCAUUCUAAACCUGAUUUCCCAAGUCUCGAAUUAACUCUCUCUCUCCACGCUCUCUACGAUAUAGCAAGAUAUUCUAUUGUAUUGAGACUUAUAAUUUCAUUACUCCUAAGUAAGUGUAAGUGUUUUCUACUUUAUGUAUCCCUGGAAUAUUUAUUGUGGUUGAAAUUGUAUUAAUUUUGAUUUUUUUAUACGAACUUCUCUCAUUAAGGGCUGCAAGUCUCACUAUUGAUUUUUAUUUGAUUAAAGUCAUUGCAUAUAUAUAUACGUUCAAGAGAGGGAGUGGAUAUUCAAACAAACAAGUUACACAGUAGUUUCACACAUUUUUAAUUUUGCAUUAAACAAAUGGAAACAAAUAUCAUUCCAGAUAAUCCAUCCAAUAAAAAUCAUUCCUAAGAUUUCAAAAUUUUGUGAUCAAAUGUAGAUUAAUAAGAGCUUUACAUUAUUUUCUCCAUUCGUGCCGUGAAGAAAGGGUCGGACUAGAGCUGAAGAGCAAAAUUCAAAAUUUGCAAUAUUUAUUUUAUUUUUCAAAAUGUAAAUUUCUUUUUGUUAUUAGAUCACCCCCUUCAAGGCAAACGAGAAGAUAUUUUCACAGUUAUGAAUUAUCCUUCGAAAUAUCAGAAAUGAAAUAUUAGUUCUUUCAUUAAAAAAACGAAAUUUUUAAUUUUCAAUCGAUUUCAUACCAUAAUAAGAGAACUUGAAUUUUAUUUACAUGAAAGAUACUCUUAAGGAUCAAGUUCCAGGGAAAUUAUGAUAUAUUUAUUCGAGAAAGAGUGAAUAAUUGAACAAAUGUCAUAAAAAGAAGUCUUGUAAUUUCGUAAUUUUAUAUUAAAUAAAUAAAUAAGAAUAUCAUUCCA